GUAGGGUGCAAGCGUUAAUCGGAAUUACUGGGCGUAAAGCGUGCGCAGGCGGUUUUGUAAGACAGUGGUGAAAUCCCCGGGGCUCAACCUGGGAACUGCCAUUGUGACUGCAAGGCUGGAGUGCGGCAGAGGGGGAUGGAAUUCCGCGUGUAGCAGUGAAAUGCGUAGAUAUGCGGAGGAACACCGAUGGCGAAGGCAAUCCCCUGGGCCUGCACUGACGCUCAUGCACGAAAGCGUGGGGAGCAAACAGGAUUAGAUACCCUGGUAGUCCACGCCCUAAACGAUGUCAACUGGUUGUUGGGAAUUUAUUUUCUCAGUAACGAAGCUAACGCGUGAAGUUGACCGCCUGGGGAGUACGGCCGCAAGGUUA
rnacentral:rRNA from 1 species